GUGGCCGAUGCCCAACGGUCGGGCGCUGGAUUGUGGCUCCAGUCCAAACGGGUUCGACUCCCGUCGGUCACA
rnacentral:tRNA from 1 species